GUAACAAAUGGAAUUUUAGUAAUAAUGCUUCUAAUUAAUUUGGCCACUUAUUAAUUUGUUCAGCAGACAUUUCUGAAGGUCAUGAAACCAGGCACAGUGCCAAGUAAGCACAAUGAUAUUCUCCAUUACAGAAACUAACAAUCAAGCUUGACAGCAGUCCUGUUGUUCUCCUGGUUUACUACUGAGUUCUAUCUUUGCAAGCAAAGUGGAGUAAUCAAGCCCUAUGAGACAGAUCUUCUUUCAUCAUAUGAGAGCCUAAGGUAAGAAAAAUAGAGGCAGAUACUCAGAAACUCCCAUUGAAACUACCGUUGAAGGCAACUACCAUUUGUCCCUUUAGGAAGAUCUGGAGG
rnacentral:lncRNA from 1 species